GGCCUGUGACUCAGUGGUAGAGCAUCUACUCUGCAUGCAGAAGAUCCUGGGUUCAAUCGCCAGCAUCUCCA